GAUGAACGCUGGCGGCGUGCCUAAUACACGCAAGUCGAGCGGGCGGACGAGAAGAUUGUUCCCUUGCUGUUAGCGGCGGACGGGCGAGUAACGAGUAGAUCAGAUACCUCUAUGACUGGGGUGACAACGGGAAACAGCAUAUAAUAAUGGAUAAUAUUAUCUACCGCUUGGAUCAAAAGUGAUAGACGGUCUUGCCGUCACUUAUAGCUGGUUCCGCGCUGCAUUGGCUAGUUGGUAAGGUAACGGCUUACCAAGGCGACGAUGCGUAGCCGACCUGAGAGGGUGAUCAGCCACACUGGAACUGAGACACGGUCCAGACUCCUACGGGAGGCAGCAGUGGGGAAUAUUGCGCAAUGGGCGAAAGCCUGACGCAGCAAUGCCGCGUGAGUGAAGAAGGUCUUCGGGUUGUAAAGCUCUGUUAUUGGGGAAGAACAGAUGUAGGUGUAUCUGUGGAUAUCUUGACGGUACCCAAAGAGUAAGCCACGGCUAACUUCGUG
rnacentral:rRNA from 1 species